rnacentral:rRNA from 1 species
UACGGAGGGUGCAAGCGUUAAUCGGAAUUACUGGGCGUAAAGCGCGCGUAGGCGGCUUUGUAAGUCGGAUGUGAAAGCCCCGGGCUUAACCUGGGAAUUGCAUUCGAUACUGCAGAGCUAGAGUAUGGUAGAGGGAAGUGGAAUUCCGGGUGUAGCGGUGAAAUGCGUAGAUAUCCGGAGGAACACCAGUGGCGAAGGCGACUUCCUGGGCCAAUACUGACGCUGAGGUGCGAAAGCGUGGGGAGCAAACAGGAUUAGAUACCCCCGUA